GACGAACCGUGCGAACGUUGUUCGGAAUCACUGGGCUUAAAGGGCGCGUAGGCGGGCGGUCAAGUCAGAGGUGAAAUCCCACGGCUCAACCGUGGAAGUGCCCCUGAUACUGAUCGCCUCGAGGGAGGUAGGGGCGUGCGGAACUUCCGGUGGAGCGGUGAAAUGCGUAGAUAUCGGAAGGAACACCGAUGGCGAAAGCAGCGCGCUGGACCUUUACUGACGCUGAGGCGCGAAAGCUAGGGGAGCAAACAGG
rnacentral:rRNA from 1 species